rnacentral:rRNA from 1 species
GACGAACGCUGGCGGCGUGCUUAACACAUGCAAGUCGAACGGAAAGGCCCUGCUUUUGUGGGGUGCUCGAGUGGCGAACGGGUGAGUAACACGUGAGUAACCUGCCCUUGACUUUGGGAUAACUUCAGGAAACUGGGGCUAAUACCGGAUAGGAGCUCCUGCUGCAUGGUGGGGGUUGGAAAGUUUCGGCGGUUGGGGAUGGACUCGCGGCUUAUUAGAUUGUUGGUGGGGUAGUGUAUUACCAAGGCUUGGACGGGUAGCAGGGCUGAUCGGGGAACAGGCCACGUUGGACUUGGACUGCGACACGGCCCAGUCUCGUACGGAGGGGUGGAGUAUAGUGUAUUAUGGGCGGAGCCCUAGUGUGGUCCAGCCGCGUGGGGUGUGAGGUGAUUGCCUUAGUAUUCCGCUUUCCUCUUUGCCGAAGUGUGAGUGACAGUAAUGGGUAAAGAAGCACCGGCUAACUACGUG